rnacentral:rRNA from 1 species
UUGGGUUAAGUCCGUAACGAGCGCAACCCUUGUCCUUAGUUACCAGCACGUUAUGGUGGGCACUCUAAGGAGACUGCCGGUGACAACCGAGGAAGGUGGGGAUGACGUCAAGUCAUCAUGGCCCUUACGGCCUGGGCUACACACGUGCUACAAUGGUCGGUACAAAGGGUUGCCAAGCCGCGAGGUGGAGCUAAUCCCAUAAAACCGAUCGUAGUCCGGAUCGCAGUCUGCAACUCGACUGCGUGAAGUCGGAAUCGCUAGUAAUCGUGAAUCAGAAUGUCACGGCGAAUACGUUCCCGGGCCUU